UACGUAGGGACCGAGCGUUGUCCGGAAUCAUUGGGCGUAAAGAGCUCGUAGGCGGCUUGUCGCGUCGUGUGUGAAAUCUCAGGGCUCAACUCUGACAUUGCAUACGAUACGGGCAGGCUUGAGUUCGGUAGGGGAGACUGGAAUUCCUGGUGUAGCGGUGAAAUGCGCAGAUAUCAGGAGGAACACCGGUGGCGAAGGCGGGUCUCUG
rnacentral:rRNA from 1 species